rnacentral:rRNA from 1 species
GGUUUAGGCCAUGCGACCCUGAACAAGUCCAAUGUUUGAUCUCAGAAACUAAGCAGGGUUGGGCUUGGUUAAUGCUUGCGUGGGAGACCACCUAGGAAGACCAGGUGCUGUAGGCA